GGUGUGGGCAAAGCCACCCUUCCUGUUGUGCUAGCUCAGUGCUUACUUGAUUCAAGAAUUCAGAAGCUCCUGGCUGUUUCUGGACAUGUGGACUUCACUGCUAAAAGACUCUUAUACUUUUAGAUGAUAAAGCAAUCCCCUCCUUGACCACUGAGCAGGAAGAACUAGUGACUCAGCAAGGAAGAGACCAGUCCCCAUUCCUUUCUCUUCUUUCUUGGCUCUGAAGCAUCUUAAUACCCUUUGAGCCUUUCACUGGAGGGGUGGCUUGGAACUGGUGUCCUUCCUCCAACCCAACAUCAUGGUGAUUGCUCCCAUGUGGCACCUAGAACAGGGGGACUCAAUGAGGUGAGCUUGAGCCUGGGCUCUUGCUUGCUUUUCCAGCUUUGUGUUUCCUUUCCUGAGUAAGUGAAUAAAUGUUGAUUUUUGAAGUGGAUGUAUCCAGGCUUGGAGGUGACUUGAUAUGUUCCAGAGGUCUAGAGAUUCGGGGUCCAUCAAAUGAAAUUGACUGAUGGCAAGAGAAUGUUCUGCAUUAGGAAGGAUGACCACCAAUAAGAAGAACAGCUCAGACCUGGCUGACCAGAAGACAUGGAGUUUGAGAAGACAAGGCAGAACUGAGGCAAACACUUUGCUGAGAUCCAGUGACCAUGGCCUCCUUGCUGUUCUUCGAAUAAGACCCCCUAUUCCCUGGCUUUUUCAUCUGCUGUCCCCAUGCUUGGAAAGCUUUUCCUCCUCGUCUCUGCCUCCUGGCUUCACUGACUUCCUUCAAAUCCCAGAUUGAUACACCAUACUAGAAGGGGUUAUGGAAGUCAGCCUGGUGAUAUGGGGGCCAAAGGAUCAGGGCCCAUACCAAAUUAAUCCUUUCCCAUCCAGUUACUUAUAACUUGUGGACUGUGAGUGGCUCCUGAGAGGUGGACUGAAGCUGUAUAUUGCCUAGGACUCCUGGAUCCAGAUCAAUUAUGUUUGGGGGUGGAGGUGAGGAGACUUGUUAAUGCGAGCUCAUAGCUUCUUAUUAGUACUUUUUUUAAAAAAAUUAUGCAUUGUGUCCUCUGGUUGUUAGGUGUGGUUAUUUCCUUAUUGAUUUUAUAUGGAUAGGGUCUAGACCUGUGAUUUCACUGAUACAGGGAACUCCCAAAAGAGGAAUCUUCUGGGAUUUUAUGCUGAAUAAACUUAUUGAUUCUAUGAUAAGGAAAAACAUUACAUGCAUCCUUCUGGCAUGUGGGUCUGCUUCUUCAGGGAACCAAUUCCAUUAUGCCAAAGUCACAUGAGAGCAUUCAUUGAAAUUUAUAGCCUGUCACAACUUUAUUCCAAUCUACCUUUCUAGUUAUGAUAUGUUACUCCCCUUUACAAACUUUUGAUUCUACCAAACUGACCUUUUUAUGCUGUUGCUCACACAUGGAAUUAUCUCCUGUCUCCAUGGUGACUUUGUAUAGGUUGUCCCUAUGACUGAAAUACACUCCCUCAUUACCUUUUGCUCUUGGAAUCUCUAGGAUGUUUCACAUCUCAGUUCAGAUGCUGCCCCCUUCAAAAGGGCAAGUGUCUCCCUCAAAAUACCACCUUGUAUUUCUUUUACAUACACUUAUUUUAGAUUUAUGUACUGUUUCUCCUAUUGAAUAUAAGCUCCUUUAGGGCUGGAACUACAACAUUUAUACCUUUGUUUCUGCAGUUGCCCUUUCUCUGCCUAGCACAACACAGGCAUUUCAUAAAUUCUUGUUGAUUGAUUUUUGAAAUACAGAAAAUUCAAAAAGAGGUGAGACUAGCUAGUGGGUAGAGGCUUGGUAGUUCUAAUUGGUAGUUUACACAAAUCCACACACCCCUAGAUAUUCUUGGUACAACCAUAUAAUGAGAGGUAGAGCUGAAGUUUAGGUCUUUGAUUUUCUGGUAACCAUAGAAAAUAUGACACUUAUUUAGCACUUCCUUCCCAGGUUGGCAGGUACAAACUGUCUGGGUGAAUGUGAGAGUUCCUAGUGGAAAGGUAUCAUAUCCACCUCAUGGUAAAGCAGCAAAGUGCUUUUUAAAAUUGUCUGCAAAGUAAGCAGAACUGUUCAGAAAACAAAUGGGAGCUUUCAUGCAAAGAAAACUGAAACCCAAGUUUUUAUCUUAACCCUGGAAUCAUCCUUCUGCAAAAUUGUCUUCUUUCGGGGGGCAGCUAGGUGGCGCAGUGGAUACAGCAUUGGCCUUGGAGC